GGGGACUGGGUAAGGCAAGAGAAUCCCUGGAUUCCAGGCUCAGCUCAGUUCAAGGGGACCCUUGUCCUUGGCAGGGCUCUCCAAAAUUCCUG